rnacentral:rRNA from 1 species
GAUGAACGCUGGCGGCGUGCCUAAUACAUGCAAGUCGAGCGAAUGGAUUAAGAGCUUGCUCUUAUGAAGUUAGCGGCGGACGGGUGAGUAACACGUGGGUAACCUGCCCAUAAGACUGGGAUAACUCCGGGAAACCGGGGCUAAUACCGGAUAAUAUUUUGAACUGCAUGGUUCAAAAUUGAAAGGCGGCUUCGGCUGUCACUUAUUGAUGGACCCGCGUCGCGUUAGCUAGUUGGGGAGGUAACGGCUCACCAAGGCAACGAUGCGUAGCCGACCGGAGAGGGUGAUCGGCCACACUGGGACUGAGACACGGCCCAGACUCCUACGGGAGGCAGCAGUAGGGAAUCUUCCGCAAUGGACGAAAGUCUGACGGAGCAACGCCGCGUGAGUGAUGAAGGCUUUCGGGUCGUAAAACUCUGUUGUUAGGGAAGAACAAGUGCUAGUCGAAUAAGCUGGCACCUUGACGGUACCUAACCAGAAAGCCACGGCUAACUACGUGCCAGCAGCCGCGGUAA